GCCGGGGUAGCUCAGCUGGGAGAGCAACAGACUGAAGUGACGACACUUCCUGCAUAUUGGGUGCAUUCUGGAGGUCCCGUGUUCAAUCCACGGUCCUGGCA